rnacentral:rRNA from 1 species
CGACCUGAAAUAAGGCAAGGCUACCCGCUGAACUUAAGCAUAUCAAUAAGCGGAGGAA